rnacentral:lncRNA from 1 species
GUUUAAGUGGCGGGCCCUGGCUCCUGGGGCUGGUGGAGGGAGGUGGGGGGAGACUCAGCAGCCUAGGUCCCAGCAGGGACCCAGGCCUCUGCCUCAGGCUGUACUGCUCCCUGCUUCCUGCCUGGCUUCUAGCUCCGGAGGAGCCCCGGAUGUCUUCCCCACUGGGCCUCUGUGUCAAGGAGGGAGUGUAUAGUCCAUGGUCGGCGUGGCUGACUGCCAGGCUGGCAGAUGGCCAGAGUCCAGAGCUCACCGGGAAGGAGCAUGAACAAGGGCCCUCGUGGGCAGCUGUGACCCAGAAUCUUCCAGCAGAAGAGCAGUGAGGAGGGAGGGAGAGGACCAGGGGGACCCUUCCCCCAUACCCCAAGCCAGCCAGGACACAGGCAUCAGCCAGCCACAGACAGCACGGAACUCCCUGGGGCACUAGACAAGCAGCUGUCACAAAAAGGGCUUCAUGAGACCAUUUUUAUGGGGCUUUUUAGCUCCAACCUUCUGGCAAAGAGAAGCCAGCAGAGACCUGGGCCUCCGAAGAUCUGCCUCAGUUGCCUGAAAUCAGAGGCUUGCCCACACAAAGACUCGAAGAUCCUGGCAGCGUGCCUGACCUGCCUCUACCCCCCAGGCACACCCCAAGCCGUCCCGGUCAGUCCCUAGACCUGCAAAGCAAAUGCCACUGGCCCUGGAGUGCCCUUGAUUAAUUCAUCUGUUAAUUUAACACUCAGUCAUGGAGCACAUUCAGAAAUGAAGUUCUUGGGGCGCCUGGGUGGCUCAGUGGGUUAAGCCGCUGCCUUCGGCUCAGGUCAUGAUCUCAGAGUCCUGGGAUCGAGNNNNNNNNNN